UACGAACCGUCCAAACGUUAUUCGGAUUCAUUGGGCUUAAAGGGUACGUAGGCGGCGCUAUCAGUCGGGUGUGAAAUCCCACGGCUCAACCGUGGAACUGCUCGGUAUACUGGUUGUCUUGAGCCACUUAGGGGCAGUCGGAACAGACGGUGGAGCGGUGAAAUGCGUAGAUAUCGUCUGGAACGCCAAAGGUGAAAACAGACUGCUGGGAGUGUGCUGACGCUGAGACACGAAAGCCAGGGGAGCAAACGGG
rnacentral:rRNA from 1 species